CAGCCGCCACGGUAAUGCGUAGGGUGCAAGCGUUAAUCGGAAUUACUGGGCGUAAAGCGUGCGCAGGCGGUUAUAUAAGACAGAUGUGAAAUCCCCGGGCUCAACCUGGGAACUGCAUUUGUGACUGUAUAGCUAGAGUACGGCAGAGGGGGAUGGAAUUCCGCGUGUAGCAGUGAAAUGCGUAGAUAUGCGGAGGAACACCGAUGGCGAAGGCAAUCCCCUGGGCCUGUACUGACGCUCAUGCACGAAAGCGUGGGGAGCAAACAGGAUUAGAGACCCGUGUAGUCCCUGUCUCUUAUAC
rnacentral:rRNA from 1 species